GAACCGACAAUUAGUUUCCAGGGAGCUGUCUUUGAUCAUGGUGUGCAGACCCCUAAGCAAUUAGGGGAGCCUAAAGUGAUCAGAGUGGCACCCACCGUAAUGGUGGGUUC
rnacentral:other from 1 species